ACGGUCACAUUACAUUGAAACACCGGUUCCCGUACAAUCAGUGAAGUUAAGCAACGUCGAGCCUUUGUCUGUACCUAGAUGGGUGACGACCGCUUGGGAAUACUAA
rnacentral:rRNA from 1 species